GCCUUCGUGGUGUAGUGGUCAGCACGUUCUACGCGUAAUAGAGAGGUCCGUGGUUCGAUUCCCGGCGAAGGCG
rfam:Stegodyphus mimosarum contig117023, whole genome shotgun sequence.